UAUCAGUCCAUACAGGAGUUAUUAGCAGACAUCAGUCCCAUAGAUAUGGGCCAUCUCCACCUGCUAGAUUGUUCAGAAGGUUGUUAUCAUCCAUCCAGAUGGAGGAUCACUAACAGGAGCGUGGGAAGACUCCAGAAUCCACUCCGGCUGGAAUCCGGUGGACACAGCAGUGUUUACAGAACAGUUCUUCACAGUCGCUGUCCACAUGGGUCAGUGGGACCAAGCAGCACUCUGCUAAUGUGAGACUCUGACCAGCAACAUCCAGCAAGACCCAAGCAGCGUUUUCUAUCUCCCAGCUGGAGUUUUUUGUUUGUCUGUGACUGGAGAGUCAGAUUUUUGUUGAGGCUGGAGGAACAGCCUCACACUUGCAGAGGUUAAUACACUCUACUGAUCCCUGAUGGGAGCAUCAUCACCUCUGCCAACAAAGAAGCCUGGUGGAUGUUUGUUUGCAGUCUGAUGAUGGGAGAUCAUGCUGUGCAUCUUCAAAUCUUUUUGCAGGAUCAGAAAACAAAACCAGAAUGACCGUAAAUGUUUCUUCUCCAAUUGGAUGAUGAUAAGACCGUGACAUGGGAUGCCACCUUUAGUCUUGUGAUGAAGCAAAGCUCAGGAAGAAGUAUGAUUAAAUGGUACCCACAUGUGUGCUGCUGAGAAGGAUGUACAGGGGCACCUGCAGCCAAAUCCAAGUCUCCUCAGCAACUUCAGGUCUGUCAGCGUGCUGAGGUCACAGAAACAAGAGAAGAAGCUUCAGACUUCAGAGUGUUGUUUACAGUUUUCUGUCAUCAUGAUCUCCCCUGAAGUUUAUCAAGCAUUUGUGCUCACAGAUGGUGACGGUGUGGAGAGACGGUGGUGUUUCCUCAGAAGAACUAGCAGAGUCACAAAGGGCACGAGUCCUUCUCACCACCUUGACUUGCUGACUGAUGCUCAUCUGCACUGCACAGAGGAAAUCAACUGACCGAGGAGUGUUUCUGAGUGAGGGAGAGAGGAGUCAUCAUCCAGGUAAAGUGACGUGGAUCAGUGGAUACACUUGUCUCACCUUUAAAGGAGAUACUCUUAGAGAGAGACGAAUCGUAAUGAUCAUGAUUACAAUGAUGACAGCGAGCGGAACUAAGACUGUAAAAAUCCACGACCAGAAUGUUUAGAUGCUUUCUAAUUAUUCAUGAAUACUGAGAGCCUCUUUCUGUGUUUUGUCUGUUUUGUUUUUUUUUACCUCAUUUGUUACUAACAAAGAUCACCAAACUCACACAGUUUACAUUCUGUAUGUUUCCAUCUUUACCAGCCACACUCUGCCUGCAAUUAAGAAAAUAAUCCUUAGCAAUCGUCAUUUUUCUCUUUUGUAAUUGAUGAUAAUUCAGUGAAUAUACUGCGCUGCUUCCUUUUAUUGCGUCUCAUAUUGCUUUAAGUUUUUCAGUGUACAGUUAUUUUUUUACUUCUGUUUGAAUUAAGAUAAGAUAAGAUAACCUUUAUUAGUCCCACACGUGGGAAAUUUCUCUGUAUGUUUGACCCUGUAGAC